GGUCGGAUGAAUUCCGGCGAUUAAUCAGAAUCGGCGAGAAACGGGUAAGAUUUGGAUGGCACAAAGAGGAGAUUGAAGUAAACGGCCUGCCAAAUUAGCAAGCACCCAAACUGCUCUGUUUCCAACAAAUUUAAUAAUCUGCAAAAAAAAGGAUUCGCAACUUCGCAGGCUUGGAAGAUGGAAUCGGCCUACAUAGCAGCAAACUAUUCCUACUUGUGUUUUUUUGUGGUGGGUUUUCCUUGGUUGGCGCCUAUGUACAAAUCAGGACGCUUUUUCUCAGCCGUGCGCCCGUGUGGUGUAGUCGAGCAGCUGCUGUGAGUUGGCGGCGGUCAUGCCGGUUGCGACGAAAUUGACCGGACCGGUGGGUUGGCGGCGGGUCACUGGAAACCGCCCAAGNNN
rnacentral:lncRNA from 1 species